UAAAGAUUAAGCCAUGCAUGUCUCAGUACUUGCUUUUACAAGGCGAAACCGCGAAUGGCUCAUUAAAUCAGUUAUGGUUCACUAGAUCGUACAGUUUACAUGGAUAACUGUGGUAAUUCUAGAGCUAAUACAUGCAUUCAGCUCGCUCUUUCGGGAGCGAGCGCAGUUAUUAGAAUAAAACCAAUCCGGCCUUCGGGUCGGUAAAAUUGGUGACUCUGAAUAACCGAAGCGGAGCGCAUGGUCUCGUACCGGCGCCAGAUCUUUCAAGUGUCUGACUUAUCAGCUUGUUGGUAGGUUAUGUGCCUACCAAGGCUUCGACGGGUAACGGGGUGUCAGGGCCCGACACCGGAGAGGGAGCCUGAGAAACGGCUACCACAUCCAAGGAAGGCAGCAGGCGCGCAAAUUACCCACUCCCGGCACGGGGAGGUAGUGACGAAAAAUAACGAUGCGAGAGCUUUUAGCUUUUCGUAAUCGGAAUGGGUACACUUUAAAUCCUUUGACA
rnacentral:rRNA from 1 species